rnacentral:rRNA from 1 species
GACGAACGCUGGCGGCGUGCUUAACACAUGCAAGUCGAACGGUAAGGCCCUUCGGGGUACACGAGUGGCGAACGGGUGAGUAACACGUGGGUGAUCUGCCCUGCACUUCGGGAUAAGCCUGGGAAACUGGGUCUAAUACCGGAUAGGACUCCGGACUGCAUGGUCUGGGGUGGGAAGCUUUUGCGGUGUGGGAGGGGCCCGCGGCCUAUCAGCUUGUUGGGGGGGUGAUGGCCUACCAAGGCGACGACGGGUAGCCGGCCUGAGAGGGUGACCGGCCACACUGGGACUGAGAUACGGCCCAGACUCCUACGGGAGGCAGCAGUGGGGAAUAUUGCACAAUGGGCGCAAGCCUGAUGCAGCGACGCCGCGUGAGGGAUGACGGCCUUCGGGUUGUAAACCUCUUUCAGCACAGACGAAGCGCAAGUGACGGUAUGUGCAGAAGAAGGACCGGCCAACUACGUGCCAGCAGCCGCGGUAA